UACGUAGGGGGCGAGCGUUGCCCGGAUUUAUUGGGUUUAAAGGGUGCGUAGGCGGUCUUUUAAGUCAGUGCUGAAAUACUCCAGCUUAACUGGAGGGGUGGCAUUGAUACUGGAAGACUUGAGUAUAGUUGAGGUAGGCGGAAUUGACGGUGUAGCGGUGAAAUGCUUAGAUAUCGUCAAGAACACCGAUAGUGAAGACAGCUUACUAAACUAUAACUGACGCUGAGGCACGAAAGUGUGGGGAUCAAACAGG
rnacentral:rRNA from 1 species